rnacentral:rRNA from 1 species
AGAGUUUGAUCCUGGCUCAGAGUGAACGCUGGCGGCGUGCCUAAUACAUGCAAGUCGAACGGACAAGUAAGAGCUUGCUCUUAUGAGUUAGUGGCGCACGGGUGAGUAAUGUAUAGUUAAUCUGCCCUACACUGGAGGACAACAGUUAGAAAUGACUGCUAAUACUCCAUACUCCUUCUUAACACAAGUUAAGUCGGGAAAGUUUUUUCUGUGUAGGAUGAGACUAUAUUGUAUCAGCUAGUUGGUGAGGUAAUGGCUCACCAAGGCUAUGACGCAUAACUGGUCUGAGAGGAUGAUCAGUCACACUGGAACUGAGACACGGUCCAGACUCCUACGGGAGGCAGCAGUAGGGAAUAUUGCUCAAUGGGGGAAACCCUGAAGCAGCAACGCCGCGUGGAGGAUGACACUUUUCGGAGCGUAAACUCCUUUUGUUAGGGAAGAACAAUGACGGUACCUAACGAAUAAGCACCGGCUAACUCCGUGCCAGCAGCCGCGGUAAUACGGAGGGUGCAAGCGUUACUCGGAAUCACUGGGCGUAAAGGACGCGUAGGCGGAUUAUCAAGUCUUUUGUGAAAUCUAAUGGCUCAACCAUUAAACUGCUUGAGAAACUGAUAAUCUAGAGUGAGGGAGAGGCAGAUGGAAUUGGUGGUGUAGGGGUAAAAUCCGUAGAGAUCACCAGGAAUACCCAUUGCGAAGGCGAUCUGCUGGAACUUAACUGACGCUAAUGCGUGAAAGCGUGGGGAGCAAACAGGAUUAGAUACCCUGGUAGUCCACGCCCUAAACGAUGUAUACUAGUUGUUGCUGUGCUAGUCAUGGCAGUAAUGCACCUAACGGAUUAAGUAUACCGCCUGGGGAGUACGGUCGCAAGAUUAAAACUCAAAGGAAUAGACGGGGACCCGCACAAGCGGUGGAGCAUGUGGUUUAAUUCGAAGAUACGCGAAGAACCUUACCUGGGCUUGAUAUCCUAAGAACCUUGUAGAGAUACGAGGGUGCUAGCUUGCUAGAACUUAGUGACAGGUGCUGCACGGCUGUCGUCAGCUCGUGUCGUGAGAUGUUCGGUUAAGUCCGGCAACGAGCGCAACCCACGUAUUUAGUUGCUAACAGUUCGGCUGAGCACUCUAAAUAUACUGCCUUCGUAAGGAGGAGGAAGGUGUGGACGACGUCAAGUCAUCAUGGCCCUUAUGCCCAGGGCGACACACGUGCUACAAUGGCAUAUACAAUGAGACGCAAUAUCGCGAGAUGGAGCAAAUCUAUAAAAUAUGUCCCAGUUCGGAUUGUUCUCUGCAACUCGAGAGCAUGAAGCCGGAAUCGCUAGUAAUCGUAGAUCAGCCAUGCUACGGUGAAUACGUUCCCGGGUCUUGUACUCACCGCCCGUCA